rnacentral:SRP_RNA from 1 species
GCCGGGCGUUGUGGCGGGCGCCUGUGGUCCCAGCUACUUGGGAGGCGGAGGCAGGAGACUCUCUUGAGCCCAGGAGUUGGAGGUUGUUGGGAGCAUGAUGCCAUGGCACUCUACUAGGGGGAUAGCUCGGGGCUCCGUCUCAAAAAAAAAAAAAAAAGAAUUUGUUUUUGUCUUUAAGUAUGGGCAUAAUUCAGGGUGUUAGUAAUACAUUUUUUAUUUUUUUUUUAUUUUUAUUUAUUUAUUUAUUUAUUUUGAGACAGAGCCUCAAGCUGUCCCCCUGGGUAGAGUGCCAUGGCAUUACAGCUCACAGCAACCUCCAACUCCUGGGCUCAAGCGAGUCUCCUGCCUCCG